AUGGAGAGUUUGAUCCUGGCUCAGGAUGAACGCUGGCGGCGUGCCUAAUACAUGCAAGUCGAACGCGGGCACUUGUGCCCGAGUGGCGAACGGGUGAGUAAUACAUAAGUAACCUGGCCUUUACAGGGGGAUAACUGCUGGAAACGGCAGCUAAGACCGCAUAGGUAGGGACACUGCAUGGUGACCGUAUUAAAAGUGCUGCAAGGCACUGGUAGAGGAUGGACUUAUGGCGCAUUAGCUGGUUGGUGAGGUAACGGCUCACCAAGGCGACGAUGCGUAGCCGACCUGAGAGGGUGACCGGCCACACUGGGACUGAGACACGGCCCAGACUCCUACGGGAGGCAGCAGUAGGGAAUUUUCGGCAAUGGGGGGAACCCUGACCGAGCAACGCCGCGUGAAGGAAGAAGGAAUUCGUUCUGUAAACUUCUGUUAUAAAGGAAGAAAGACGGAUGGAGGAAAUGACAUCCGAGUGACGGUACUUUAUGAGAAAGCCACGGCUAACUACGUGCCAGCAGCCGCGGUAAUACGUAGGUGGCAAGCGUUAUCCGGAAUUAUUGGGCGUAAAGAGGGAGCAGGCGGCAGCAAAGGUCUGUGGUGAAAGACUGAAGCUUAACUUCAGUAAGCCAUAGAAACCGGGCAGCUAGAGUGCAGGAGAGGAUCGUGGAAUUCCAUGUGUAGCGGUGAAAUGCGUAGAUAUAUGGAGGAACACCAGUGGCGAAGGCGACGAUCUGGCCUGCAACUGACGCUCAGUCCCGAAAGCGUGGGGAGCAAAUAGGAUUAGAUACCCUAGUAGUCCACGCCGUAAACGAUGAGUACUAAGUGUUGGAAGUCAAAUUUCAGUGCUGCAGUUAACGCAGUAAGUACUCCGCCUGAGUAGUACGUUCGCAAGAAUGAAACUCAAAGGAAUUGACGGGGGCCCGCACAAGCGGUGGAGCAUGUGGUUUAAUUCGAAGCAACGCGAAGAACCUUACCAGGUCUUGACAUACUCAUAAAGGAUCCAGAGAUGGAUAGAUAGUUAUAUGAGAUACAGGUGGUGCAUGGUUGUCGUCAGCUCGUGUCGUGAGAUGUUGGGUUAAGUCCCGCAACGAGCGCAACCCUUGUCGUUAGUUACCAUCAUUAAGUUGGGGACUCUAGCGAGACUGCCAGUGACAAGCUGGAGGAAGGCGGGGAUGACGUCAAAUCAUCAUGCCCCUUAUGACCUGGGCUACACACGUGCUACAAUGGAUGGUGCAGAGGGAAGCGAAGCCGCGAGGCGAAGCAAAACCCAUAAAACCAUUCUCAGUUCGGAUUGUAGUCUGCAACUCGACUACAUGAAGUUGGAAUCGCUAGUAAUCGCGAAUCAGCAUGUCGCGGUGAAUACGUUCUCGGGCCUUGUACACACCGCCCGUCACACCAUGAGAGUUGAUAACACCCGAAGCCGGUGGCCUAACCGAAAGGAAGGAGCUGUCUAAGGUGGGAUUGAUGAUUGGGGUGAAGUCGUAACAAGGUAUCCCUACGGGAACGUGGGGAUGGAUCACCUCCUUU
rnacentral:rRNA from 1 species